rnacentral:tRNA from 1 species
GGAGGAAUACCCAAGUCCGGCUGAAGGGAUCGGUCUUGAAAACCGACAGGCGGGUUAAACCACGCGGGGGUUCGAAUCCCUCUUCCUCCG